UACGGAGGGUGCGAGCGUUGUCCGGAAUCACUGGGCGUAAAGGGCGCGUAGGCGGCCUGGUAAGCGUGCGGUGAAAGCCCGGGGCUCAACCCCGGGUCGGCCGUGCGAACUGCGAGGCUGGAGCACUGUAGAGGCGGGUGGAAUUCCGGGUGUAGCGGUGGAAUGCGUAGAGAUCCGGAAGAACACCAAUUGCGAAGGCAGCUAGCUGGGUUCACAUUGACGCUGAGGCUCGAAAGCAUGGGGAGCAAACAGG
rnacentral:rRNA from 1 species